GUACACUGGGCAGUUUGGCCCGCCAGCCCGCCAGCACCGCGAGCUCAUCGUAGAAGAAUCAAGUUCAGCAAGUCACGAGGAAGUUGUCCGUCUUCGAGAGCUGGCAGUCCGGACCCGCAGACCCUGGUUGUCUCCCAUCGUUCAGAGAUCGCAGUCGGCGUCCUUGUCCAGGCCUGCGGACCGUCCUUCCCACGCCAGCGCCGCGUAGGCUAGCUGUUCCGGGCUAUCACAGCCCGAGUCUUGCUGCGGAACCAGUCUGGGAUCGUCGCGGCCUAGGCCGGUUUGGCCAGGGCUCGCCGUUUCCGCCGAUCCUGAUCCGAACCUUGCUGGUGGAACACUCCGGGGAUCGCCAUGGGCCAGAUCAACCAGAACGGCUCCAUUGUUCCUGCCCGGCCCCAGCAUGGUGCAGCACGCUCCUCCUGUUUCCUCGCGCUCGCCCCCGGCUAGAAUAAAAGGUGGGUGAUUGGAACUAGAGCACCAUAUAGCUCCUUCGGAGCAGAGUACCGCAGAGCCGUAUAUUGGGAGAGUUUGGCCCGUAGGUGUGGCGACGAAGGCGCCGGAGAGGAGAAAAGUAAAUGAAAGGGAGGAGAGCGCCGUAGGAGCGAGAGAUAAAGAAGGGAGCAGAGAGAAGACGACCACCAUUUUUUAGCAACGCUGUCGGAGGCUGGUCGGAUAAGAGCACUGCUGAGGCUACGCAUCGUCUGCUACGGGCCGAAUUCUUUUUCACCUGCAUAAAAGUUUGGGGCCAUGCGCCGAAAAAUCUUAAUUUGUUAGCUUUUUAACCCACCGAGGAAUAACAGAAUGUAAUUUUCUUGCCAGAGCCAGUGAUAUAAAAGGCAAUAAUCGAGAUUUAGAUGCUGAUUCCAUGCAUUCCGCCUGGAGAAUGAUAGAAGAUGGCGGCCCUUUCCACUCAGCUGCAAGCAGCCGAAAGUUCGCGCUCAUGCCUCUCACUCUGCGUCGCGUGCUGAUUGGUUCGCUCAGGAGGAGAGUGUUACGGUGGCGAGAUCAUAGACUGACCAAACUCUCCCCAUAUACGGCUCUGGAGUACCGCAAUCUAGAACGCCAUCUCUCGGCGGCUAGUGGCGAACUCCUGGAGGUUCCAACCCCGGUCAGAAAUGCAUGGAAAACGUGGGAAAAUCGCUGUUUCUUCAUUGUUGUGGGGAUGUACGGAACGACAAUAGUUUUUGACAUAAUAGUGGAACAUUUUACAACAAUUUGCGCUAAGUUCUGUGCCUCGUAAGGACAUAACUUUUUUUAAAAAAUGCCUAAGCGGCAUCAUGCAGCAGACGACGCGGCGACGUCACACCAAUCACGUGACCCGCUCCGGCCAACCCCAAAAAAACCAUCUCCGCUGUGCAAAACAAUCAUCUGCUUCAAACGCCAUUGCCUUGGAAAUUGCCUUCUCACAAUUUUCACAUGCAUCCAAUAUUAUUAAAAUUUUGAUAAAGUGUUUCGUGCUUUAGCAACUUUACGACAGACUAGUUUCAAAAAGUGUGGACUUGCCGUUUAUUUUUUAUCAGCCGUGUUGAGUCGAUCUCCAUGUAUUCUCCGAUAGGGCGGGCCGCCUCCUGGAACCCUGAGUUCCACGUGACUCGCGCUGAGCUGCUCAGUCGGCCAUCUUGUCGGCGAAGCACGCGGAUCAAAGGAUUGCGCUACUCUGCUCCGUAGGAGCUAUAUAGUGCUCUAAUUGGAACUAGAGACGUCUCGAACCUCCUUCGGUUCGACUUCGAAAGGUUUUGAUAUUUUCAAACUGAUCUGAGGUCCAAAUUGAAAGUUUUCAAUAUUUUCGACCGUACCGAUGUGCAAAUUCGAAAAGUUUUUAACUUUCGAACACGUGAACACCGAAAACCGGUUUCUAAAAGUUACGGUUCGAUUAUUUCGAAUAUUUUUUUACCUGAGAUCGAGUAAUUCAAAGUUUUUGAACUUUCCUAACUAAUAAAUCGAGAGAUUCAAUAAUUUUAAAUUUCUUGGGAUCUGAAGUUCGAAAAAUGAGAAGAUUUCGAAUUUCUUUGAAUCAGAAGUUAGAAGAUUUCGAAUUUCUUUGGAUCUGAUAUUCGAAAAAUUUCAACGUUUAAAAUUUUUAUAGACAAAGUUGGAAAAAUUCUAAGAUUUCGAAUUUCUUUCUGCAUAAAGUUAGAAGGUUUCGAUUCUCCAAGUGCGCAAAGUUCGAAGUCCGGUUUUCAUGUUCCUCUACAAUUUCAGUUUCAAAUAGCAUUUUCACGCCUCACUGGUUUUCACAAAAUCAGGUUUAAAAAAGUUAGGUGUGACAUUUAGAAUGCAGAAGUUGGUCAGGCAAUUAAAUGAGAUGACGAGUGUCCCGGAUGUGCUGGAAUAUUUGCCAGUGCAGAGUGAUGUCUGGCCAUGUAGCUGUAAUUGCGCCCUCCAGCCCGGGAGAAUCUUUAACGUGCAUCACGCAGCAGUGAUCACAUGAACGCACUCGUACGAUACUCCUUCAGUUCGAAACGGCCAGGGGCGGGCAAAAAGUUGAGGCUCAGAAAAACCUUGAAGCGAUCUGGCAAGCUACCUCCCCAUCCCCUGAUUUUCCGGACUGUUAAAGAAAACAAUACGGGGAAAGAGGCGUGGUUGAGCUUAAUCUUUAUUUUAAUCUGAAAUUAUAUAUGCAUAUGUAUAGCUACUGUCGCUCUUCACUUCAUAAAAGAUUGCGUAGAUGAUCAUUGUUGGAAACUCGUUGGAAGGCACUACUCGUCACAUACUUAGUGGUUCGGAAGUUAAAAGCUAUGUCUUUUUGACCUACAUAACUGUGCCACUGGUAAAAAAAAAAAAAAAUUCUUAGUUCAACAAGUUCGAAAAUUCAAAAUCUCUCGAGCCGCCUGAUUCUGUCACCGAACCUUCAGUUCGAAAAAAGUUUGCGGCAUCCCUGAUUGGAACCAAACUGCAUGCGUGAGACGAGUAUGCGCUUUGCAAUGGCUGUAAUGUGGUACGCAAGCCUGGUGUAAAAAGGUGACAGGCAACAAAGUGUGCAUAUGAGAUGGAUAUUUAUGCUUCGCAUAAUCUUUUUCUAAAGAAAAUCUUGUGCAUCCUGUUUUGUGAAGGCCUCACAUUUGUUACCAGACUCAGCAUUAAAUUUGGUUGCCAAAACAAACAAAUGUGCUGCGAAAAUCCACUAUUUGAGAACUCACAGGUUUGGAAGGUUUUAGUUGUGAUUGCGCGUGUGCCGAACGGCUAUAGACACAUACAAUUACGAGUGCCGGAACGGGCCAACGGGCCUCUCUCAUCUUGAAGGCCUCAUCGCCUGAUUCUAGUCGGCACAGCAAAGCAACAAUCGGCCCGAUUGUUUCUACCGUAUUUCCUGUGUGGCUGUCUAAGUGACUUGUAAAACAACUGGUAUAAAUUUGUUAUUUUGCCGAGUAGUCUGCAAAACGAGUUCGUCGAACCACUUUCCAAGCCUGCACAUCUAUUUUCGUUCACUUCAACAAUUAUUGUAGAAUUCACUUGCUUGAUGCGUCGCACUGCAGUAAUCCAUUUCUGUUGCAGUGUCGCUUCCCAAGAUCUCGAAGGGAACCGUUGUAGUUUGACGCUUGAGUCACCUUCGUGACUUUGGCAGUCUUUCACGCAGCAGUAGCGACGUUUAUUCUUUGGGGGAACUCUAGGAGUAGGCGAGAUGUCACAGGAGCUCGGUGAGGUCAUAGAGACGUGAAGCCGGGACUUACUUUUAAGAGAAACUGUGCCCAAAAAGGCUCACGCCAAUCCGAAAUGCCACAUUCACACAUGGUUUCUUAAAUGCGCCCACCCGCAGCCCCCUGAUCUUGGCCGUCCUGGCCCACCCAGUGUCUUAUUUUGCAGCCGCUAGAUGGCGCAACGUGUGGUGCCAAACUGCAUUGCCGGUUAAUAUUUCAGUAACUUUACUUUUGAUGAGGGGAGGGAGUGAAGUGGAGAGAUUCAUAUUAUCAAGAUUCUGCUGCGUUUGCCUGCCCCCCUCGCGUACACACACACACACAGUGUCGUUGCCCAAAGCGCCUCUGACUGUAUGAUGCAAAACCUAAUUUGUUUUGAUCUGUAUAAAAGAAGAAAAUAAUUUACUGACAGAGUGACAGUGCUGGUGGGCCUGAAUCUAAAUAUGUACUUGCAGGACGACUUCAUUUCAUGACUUCUUUAUGCAGCAUAGCACGACACAGUCAUUGCUUACGAGUAGUUGCAACGACAAGAGUUGAUCAGGUUGCCAGUAUCGCAUGUGAAUGAAUACUAUCUUAAAGGCGUGAUUUCAAAAGGUAGUCUUCAUUUAUUUAGUGCAUAAAGUAGCCUGGCUGUGGCAACAUCAUAAGCUUAGCAUACCACUUUUAUAGUAGUGGCCACAGCACCCUCAUGUCACCUCCCUAAAAGAACCGUAAGGAAGAGCGGGCACUACCUCCACAAUUUUGCGUCCUCACAAAUCAUAAAACAAGUGAAAGUGAUUGGCUGAUGGUGUGAAAACCAGCCAAUCGCUUUCAUUUGUUUUAUGAUGCAUUACUGAAAUCUCACCUUAUUAGUAACUGUAGCCUACAUUUUGUUUGGGCAUAUGCAUGCUUCCUUCAAUUACUACAACAAAGACAUGGGGUUGAAUGAUUUGACUACCUAACAUAGCUCCUUAUCAUGGGGCUAGAUUGAUGCUGUGAAGGAAUAUUGUGCUUUAUUUAUACUGCAUUGCCCGUCAUUUGGGAUUACGUGGUGUGGCAAACGUUUUCUUUAUUAAAGCUACAGUUUGUCCUAAAUGUGUAAGCAAAUCAAGAUCUUGAUGUUACUCGUCUCUCUAACCUUCAAUUUGCUCUCCUCGGUGCUGCUGUGGCUGCGCCACCUGGUGAGGCUGUGGCCUUUUCUUGGCCACCUCUCUUUGCUGUCCGGGAUGCUGAGACUCAUCUUGGACCUGGCAUCAAAAUGCGAGAGGCAGCAUUUACACACGCCAUGGAAAAGGCUGCCACUCCUGGCCGCUUUCUCAGAAUGGUCAGCCGACCACUAUGGGAGCCUGCGGAGCUCUUGGACAGGAGAAUGUCAGGGCAAGCCUGCAGGCGUCUCCUCUAGGAGGGUGUGGUUUCAUCAUGCGAUACCAACAUGCCCAAGCCAUCAUCUUAGCCAUCCAGAUGUGCUGGCAAAAACGGCAUGGAAGAAAAGAGCCAUGGACAGCCCUGUCUGCAAGGGAAUGUGUGCGAGUGGUGCGUGUUGGGAAAAAAAAUAAAAUAGUAAGUUUCAUU